CCUCCCCUGUUCUAUCUUCAGGGUUGCUGCAACCCCUCCGAUUGUCAUAAUACUGGUCUCUUGAAAACCGGCUUAUCCCAGCUCCCUGAUCUUUUUUCUUUUUUGUUUUCCGCUACAGUUUGAGAGAUCAAUCAGCCACUAAGUAAUAGAGCUAGCUGUUCUGAAGGAAUGAAAUGAAUAUAUCUUGAUUAAAAAUCGAUUAACAAUAUAACUAAAUGUGAAAGUGGAAUAAAUCACCAGUAUUUUCAUUUCAUUUAUUUUAAAGAUAAUGCUGUCCCUGAGUUACCAACUUAUUACUAGCUGCUUUAUUAGUCAGACUGCGAAAGAAAAUAACUGCUGAAAACUGCCCGGAUGAUGGCUAUAGUCAUCUUAAAAUAGUCAAAAAAGAAGGAUUUGCUGAAACAAGGGGUAUUGCGCAAGGCUAAACAUGACGGCAGGAAGGAUGGGGUGGGAAGGAAAGAGGAUAGCCAUAAUUAUAUGUCAGAUAUGGUAACUUGCUAUGGCCAUUUCAUAUUCGAGGGAAAACAAAGAAAGGUUUGGAAGGGCUGAUGGCGUAUAUGAAUGACAAUUGAGGGUUGGGGAGGAAAUCUCCAGAAACACUGCGCAAGAAAUUAUAGGGAAAAUUGAAACUCAUGAUUUGAAAAAGGAAGCCAGGAAAAGUGAAAAGUGAAAAGAGUGAAAACAAACCCUACCAGAAGAUAAAACGAUCAAUCGUGGAUGAUGGAAUAAACAAAUACACAAACAAAAAAUACUCCCCAGGAAAUCAUGGUCAUUCCGCUAGAAAUAAACUCCCGCUCCAAAACAUGGCAAAAGUGAGGAUAGGAGACCUACGAGGCAAAAAAGAGAUAGAAACGAAGUCUCGGUAAAAAUAUGGUUCGGGUACGGAUGACAAUGUUAGUUCGCAAAGCCUGACAGUAGCGAUGUUUAUGAGAGG
rnacentral:sRNA from 2 species